AGUGAACGCUGGCGGUAUGCCUAACACAUGCAAGUCGAACGGCAGCACAGUAAGAGCUUGCUCUUACGGGUGGCGAGUGGCGGACGGGUGAGGAAUACAUCGGAAUCUACUUUUUCGUGGGGGAUAACGUAGGGAAACUUACGCUAAUACCGCAUACGACCUACGGGUGAAAGCAGUGGAUCUUCGGACCUUGCGCGAUUGAAUGAGCCGAUGUCGGAUUAGCUAGUUGGCGGGGUAAAGGCCCACCAAGGCGACGAUCCGUAGCUGGUCUGAGAGGAUGAUCAGCCACACUGGAACUGAGACACGGUCCAGACUCCUACGGGAGGCAGCAGUGGGGAAUAUUGGACAAUGGGCGCAAGCCUGAUCCAGCCAUACCGCGUGGGUGAAGAAGGCCUUCGGGUUGUAAAGCCCUUUUGUUGGGAAAGAAAAGCAGCAGGUUAAUACCCCGCUGUUCUGACGGUACCCAAAGAAUAAGCAACGGCUAACUUCGUG
rnacentral:rRNA from 1 species